UCAGGCCUGGAUUUACAAGGAUAAAUGUCCCAUAUUUUCUGGAUGAAGAAAGUUUAGAAUACAGCCUUGAGGCUGUAAAACUGGUGGCAGAGGAAGGCUGGAAGCUUCUACCUCAGUAUAUGUUUAAUCCUGAAACUGGUGAAUGGAGACAACGAAACUUUCAGGUAUUUAAGGAUAGGAAAUGGUUGGGUCAUAUAUCAUACAACGGUGGAGAAAUGAGCUAUAAAGUACCCCCACUUGUUUAAAUAAAGGACCACUGCCUGAUAAUUACAAGG